CCUACGGGGGGCUGCAGUGGGGAAUAUUGCACAAUGGGGGAAACCCUGAUGCAGCGACGCCGCGUGAGUGAAGAAGCAUUUCGUCAUGUAAAGCUCUAUCAGCAGGGAAGAAAAUGACGGUACCUGAGUAAGAAGCCCCGGCUAACUACGUGCCAGCAGCCGCGGUAAUACGUAGGGGGCAAGCGUUAUCCGGAUUUACUGGGUGUAAAGGGGGCGUAGACGGCAGUGCAAGUCUGGAGUGAAAGGCGGGGGCUCAACCCCCGGACUGCUCUGGAAACUGUAUGGCUGGAGUGCAGGAGGGGUAAGUGGAAUUCCUAGUGUAGCGGUGAAAUGCGUAGAUAUUAGGAGGAACACCAGUGGCGAAGGCGGCUUACUGGACUGUAACUGACGUUGAGGCUCGAAGGCGUGGGGAGCAAACAGGAUUAGAUACCCGUGUAGUC
rnacentral:rRNA from 1 species